UCUCUCUGAAUCUGCGAACGGCUCCGCAAACCAGUUGUAAACCACAGCAGCCUGCAACGGUUGGACCUCGGUCUGGCCCGCGCGAUACGGAUAACCCUGGUAAUUCUAAGGCUAAUACGUGUAUGGAACACCCGGUGGACCGGCUUCGGCUGGGAAACCGGGAGACGAGUGAUGGAAUGUUUGGAUUACCAGGAACGGGCACUCGCCUUGACCGCGCUACAAAGGAUGAACCUUCGGGGGACUCCCAGCGGCUCUUGCGCGGUGCUUCUGACCUAUCAACUAGACGGCAGCGUAAAGGACAUGCUAUGGUUACAACGGGUACAGAGGAUUAGGGUUCGAUCCUGGAGAGUGGGCCUGAGAGAUUGAGC
rnacentral:rRNA from 1 species